rnacentral:rRNA from 1 species
AUUGAACGCUGGCGGCAGGCUUAACACAUGCAAGUCGAGCGGUAACAGAGAGAAGCUUGCUUCUCUGCUGACGAGCGGCGGUCGGGUGAGUAAUGCCUAUGAAUCUGCCUAGUAGUGGGGGAUAACUUGCCGAAAGGUAAGCUAAUACCGCAUACGUCCUACGGGAGAAAGGAGGGGACCUUCGGGCCUUUCGCUAUUAGAUGAGCCUAGGUCGGAUUAGUUAGUUGGUGAGGUAAUGGCUCACCAAGACCGCGAUCCGUAACUGGUCUGAGAGGAUGAUCAGUCACACUGGAACUGAGACACGGUCCAGACUCCUACGGGAGGCAGCAGUGGGGAAUAUUGGGCAAUGGGGGGAACCCUGAUCCAGCCAUGCCGCGUGUGUGAAGAAGGUCUUAGGAUUGUAAAGCACUUUAAGUUGGGAGGAAGAGCAGUUAACUAAUAUUUGACUGUUUUGACGUUACCGACAGAAUAAGCACCGGCUAACUUCGUGCCAGCAGCCGCCGCGG